rnacentral:rRNA from 1 species
ACUCAAAUGAAUUGACGGGGGCCCGCACAAGCGGUGGAGGAUGUGGUUUAAUUCGACGCAACGCGAAGAACCUUACCUGGGCUUGAACUGCUAGGUAAACCCUUGGAAACAGGGGCUGGUAGCAAUACCGACCUAGUAGAGGUGCUGCAUGGCUGUCGUCAGCUCGUGUCGUGAGAUGUUGGGUUAAGUCCCGCAACGAGCGCAACCCUUGUCGUUUGUUACCAGCGAGUCAUGUCGGGGACUCAAACGAGACUGCCGGUGGUAAACCGGAGGAAGGUGGGGAUGACGUCAAGUCCUCAUGGCCCUUACGUCCAGGGCUACACACGUCCUACAAUGGCCGGAACAACGGGAUGCAAGACCGCAAGGUGGAGCCAAUCCUCAAAUCCGGUCUCAGUUCAGAUUGCAGUCUGCAACUCGACUGCAUGAAGUUGGAAUCGCUAGUAAUCGCGGAUCAGCACGCCGCGGUGAAUACGUUCCCGGGCCUUGUACACACCGCCCGU